AUGCCGUGCCUGGACUGGGCACCGGCGCAGAGGAGGGCUCCGGCCAUGGAGCUGGGUUGGACCCCGUGCCUGGACUGGGCACCGGCGCAGAGGAAGGCUCCGGGCAUGGAGCUGUGUUGGCUGCCAUGCUUGGACUGGGCACUGGCGCAGAGGAAGUCUCCGGCCCCUGGAGCGGGACUGGACGCCGUGCCUGGACUGGACACCGGCGCAGAGGAAGGCUCCGGCCCUGGAGCGGUACUGGAUGCCAUGCCUGGACUGGGCAUCGACGCAGAGGAAGGCUCCUGCCAUGGAGCGGGACUGGACACCGUGCCUGGACUGGGCACCGGCGCAGAGGAGGGCUCCGGCCAUGGAGCUGGGUUGGACGCCGAAGGCUCCGGCCAUGGAGCUGGGUUGGCCGCCAUGCCUGGACUGGGCACUGGCGCAGAGGAAGGCUCUGGCCUUGGAGCGGGACUGGACGCCGUGCCUGGACUGGGCACUGGCGCAGAGGAAGGCUCCUGCCAUGGAGCGGGACUGGACACCGUGCCUGGACUGGGCACCGGCGCAGAGGAAGGCUCCUGCCAUGGAGCGGGACUGGACACCCUGCCUGGACUGGGCACCGGCGCAGAGGGAGGCUCCUGCCAGGGAGCGGGACUGGACACCGUGCCUGGACUGGGCAUCAGCGCAGGUUGCACCGGACUGAUGGCACGCUCUUCAGGUCGAGUGCGUGGAGCCAGUACAGGACGCUCCGGGCUGGAGAGGCGCACUGGAGGCCUAGUGCGUGGAGCCGGUACAGGUGGCACCAGACUGGUGACGCACUUCAGGGCGAGUGCUGGGAGCUGGCACAGGACGUACCGGACUGGAGAGGCGCACUGGAGGCCUGGUGCGUGGAGCCGGCACAGGUGGCACCGGACUGGUGUUGCACUUCAGGGCGAGAGCGGGAGCUGGCACAGGACGUACCGGACUGGGGAGGCGCACUGGAGGCCUGAUGCGUGGAGCCGGCACAUGUGGCACCGGACUGGUGACACGCACUUCAGGGCGAGUGCGGGGAGCUGGCACAGGACAUACCGGACUGGGGAGGCGCACUGGAGGCCUGGUGCGUGGAGCAGGUACAGGUUUCACCGGACUGAUGACACACACUUCAGGGCGAGUGCGGGGAGCUGGCACAGGAUGUACCGGACUGGGGAGGCACACUGGAGGCCAGAUGCAUGA
rnacentral:lncRNA from 8 species